GUACAGUGUAUUUCAGGUGCAUUUGUCAGAAUAUUCAUGUGGCUGGAGUAGGGAUCGAGAUAGAGAGAGGGAGAAAUUGAGAGAGAAAGAGAGAGGCUGGCAGGAGCAGCAGCAGCAGCACAGCACUGGACGAAGGUAGAGUGAGGGAGAGGGACCCUCUGGACUUGGUCGUUCGUUCAGUGCAGCUCUAAGAGGAAAGCGAUCAGGAGAGAGAGAGAGAGAGAGAGAGAGAGAGAGAGAGAGAGAGAGAGAGAGAGAGAGAGAGCGAGAGAGAGAGAGAGCAGGCAGGAGCGUAGAGGUAGAGCCAGCAGCUGAGCUGAUCACGAGGUGUCAGUCUUAUUCUUUCCAUCCAUCUCCUCUAUUCCUUCACUCACUUCUUCUUCUUCUGAGUGCACCAGACCUUUUACCAGAGCUGUGCGAUAAGCGGGAAUCCCACGUUUUGAAAAAAGAACUCCAGACAGAUAGAUAGACAGACAAAAGAAGAAUGUAAAUGAAUGGAACGACAGUGACAGAGAAAAAUAAGUUAACUUCUGAAGACUCAUCCAGUACUGGAGGGGCUGUGGUGUGCAACACCAGAAAGCAAGAUACUUGGAAGUUGCUCGAGUGGUAUGUGGCUAUUAUAGAACAAGCACUUUUCAUGACUCCAGUGCUGUUUGGCCUUGGGUUCUUGAGAGGUAGGACACUACUAUCGGAAAGCUUUUCAAUAAAGUAUGCAUUUGUAAAAGAAAAUGUGGCCUGGCUCUCACACUGGCUGUGUGUGUGUCCAUCCAUCUGUCUGUCUGUCCUGUCUGCCUGUCUGUCUGUAUCGGAGUUCCAGAUAUGGCUGGAAGAGAGUGGUGGCAGACAACAGUGGAGGGCAUCUUCACUAAGUGGCGAGAACGUGUAGGAGAUCAUCCUCAUGGAGUUCAUCUAUUUGAGCUGAUUCAAGUAGGUAUCCUAUAUUAGGUAGACCUACUAGUUCUUGGGUAGAAAAAGUGGCUUGUGAAAGUAUUCACCCCCUUGGCAUAUUUUCUAUUUUGCUGCCUUACAACCUGGAAUUAAAAUAGAUUGUUUGGGGGGUUCGUAUCAUUUGAUUUACACAACAUGCCUAGCACUUUGAGAUGCAAAACAUGUUUUAUUGUGAAACAAACAAGAAAUAAUACAAAAAAAUCUGAAAACUUGAGCGUGCAUAACUAUUCAUCCCCCCCAAAGUCAAUACUUUGCAGAGCCACCUUUUGCAGCAAUUACAGCUGCAAGUCUCUUGGGGCAUGUCUCUAUAAGCUUGGUACAACUAGCCACUGUGAUUUUUAAGCAAUCAUACCGGAGAUUCAUACCGGAGAUUCUCAAUUGGAUUGAGGUCUGGGCUUUGACUAGGCUAUUCCAAGACAUUUAAAUGUUUCCCCUUAACCUGUUGGGUCUAGGGGGCAGCAUUUGCACGUCUGGAUAAAAAAAAUGUACCCGAUUUAAUCUGGUUACUAAUCCUACCCAGUAACUAGAAUAUGCAUAUACUUAUUAUAUAUGGAUAGAAAACACUCUAAAGUUUCCAAAACUGUUUGAAUGGUGUCUGUGAGUAUAACAGAACUCAUUUGGCAGGCAAAACCCUGAGACAUUUUCUGACAGGAAGUGGAUACCUGAUGUGUUGUAUUGACUUUAAACCUAUCCCAUUGAAAAACACAGGGGUUUAGGAAUAUUUUGGCACUUCCUAUUGCUUCCACUAGAUGUCACCAGCCUUUACAAAGUGUUUUGAGUCUUCUGGAGGGAGAUCUGACCGAACAAGAGCCAUGGAACGGUGAUGUCCCAUUAGACACCUGGCGCGCUACUUCAUGUUGGGUACCCUCGUUCCAAUACGUUAUAAAAGACUAUGCAUUCGUCCACCUUGAAUAUUAUUCAUGUUCUGGUUAAAAAAGGCCCUAAUGAUUUAUGCUAUACAACGUUUGACAUGUUUGAACGAACGGAAAUAUAUUUUUUCCCCUCGUUCAUGACGAGAAGUCCGGCUGGCUUACAUCAUGUGCUAACGAGACGGAGAUUUUUGGACAUAAAUGAUGAGCUUUUUUGAACAAAACUACAUUCGUUAUGGACCUGUGAUACCUGGAAGUGACAUCUGAUGAAGAGAAUCAAAGGUAAUGGAUUAUUUACAUAGUAUUUUAGAUUUUAGAUCUCCCCAACAUGACGUCUAGUCUGUAUCGCAACGCGUAUUUUUCUGGGCACAGUGCUCAG
rnacentral:lncRNA from 8 species